AAAGUCGUAACAAGGUUUCCGUAGGUGAACCUGCGGAAGGAUCAUUAUUGAAUAAAACUUGGAAUGGGUUGAUGCUGGCUUGUUCAAAGCAUGUGCACAUUCAUUCCAUUUUUAAACCCUCCUGUGCACCUUGUGUAGGCCUUGAACGAACAACCUGUCGAAGGAAAUCAAUCACUCUUCGGUGACCGAGACUGCUGCUGCAGUUAAUUUAAUUUGAUUGCACAGCUGUUUUGUAUGUGUUCUUUCAAGGUUCUAUGUUUCUCAUCAUAACAUACUGUAAAAGAAUGUCUUUUUAUUGGCCUUCAGUGCCUUUAAACAUUAAAAUACAACUUUCAACAACGGAUCUCUUGGCUCUC
rnacentral:misc_RNA from 1 species